GAUGAACGCUAGCGGCAGGCCUAAUACAUGCAAGUCGGACGGGAUUGUGGAGCUUGCUUCACAUGAGAGUGGCGCACGGGUGCGUAACACGUAUGUAACCUACCCUUGUCAGGGGGAUAGCCUCUCGAAAGAGAGAUUAAGACCGCAUAACAUUGUUUUGUGGCAUCACAGAACAAUCAAAUAUUUAUAGGACAAGGAUGGGCAUGCGGAACAUUAGCUAGUUGGUAAGGUAACGGCUUACCAAGGCUACGAUGUUUAGGGGAUCUGAGAGGAUGGCCCCCCACACUGGUACUGAGACACGGACCAGACUCCUACGGGAGGCAGCAGUAAGGAAUAUUGGUCAAUGGGCGGAAGCCUGAACCAGCCAUGCCGCGUGCAGGAAGACGGCCCUACGGGUUGUAAACUGCUUUUACAGGGGAAUAAACCUCGGUACGUGUACCGAGCUGAAUGUACUCUGAGAAUAAGGAUCGGCUAACUCCGUGCCAGCAGCCGCCGUAA
rnacentral:rRNA from 1 species